CCCAUGGCCGGUCUUUUCUUCUUCCCCUUUCUACUCUUCUCUCAUUAAACCUCUCCUCGUGGAACCAUGUUGGUUUGGUGUGUUCUGUCUGGAUGCCAGCCGAGAUUUAAGCCUCAACAGAGAGAAUAUGACAGAUAUGCAUUGUGUGAAAAUAUUUUUCAAUUAGAAAAAAUUAAAGUAGACACUUGACCGAUUCGAAACAGUGGAUACAGAAGUAAUCUGAGAGCUCUUAACUGUUUCAGUAAACACUUCUGCGCUGAACCCCAAGACCCUAGAUACCGGGGACGCCCCCCAAGUGGUUGACGUAUAGUGGAGCCAGCCCAGCCUGCUCUCAGAAUAAACCUCUCACCCCAGAGAUCAGUGCUGUAAAAGGGUCUACAGGCCCAGAAUGCGGUCCGCACGAUGUGAUCCUCUUCAUGGCCUACAGAGCAGGUGGAGAAGUGAGGGGUGGGGUGGGAGCACACCAGGAUUGGAUUGGCUUACACGGUUCCAUGUCUUUGUCAAGCCUAGCAAGCAGGUACUGGAUGUGUCCUAGUGAGCCAAGGGAGAACAUAGUCCUCACGGGAUCCCAAACAGGGUAGAAAGAGUGGGCUAAGGGAUUUGAGACCUUACAGGAAUAGGAGGUCCAAUGCAGGACUCGGCAGCAGCAAUUGCUGUAUUCCCUUGACAAAGCCCCAGGCUAAAAAGUGCCCUUUCUUUCCCACUGGGACAGGAUGCCAUCUGGGGCACCUUACAAGCUGGCCUUGUUUCCAGAUUAAGACAGCGGGUGAAUGAGGCAAAGUCUGCUCCUGCUCCCGGCCGGCUGUGUAGACCAACACAAAGGAACUCUUUCUCUCAGCCUGCAGUGUGAAUUAAUCUCCGUGUGUCACAUGACAGCGGAUGGGUUUCACGCCUAAUAGGUUUCUCUGCUGAUGUAAUAGCUCGAUAACUCAAACCAAAUUAAAAAAAAAAAAAUACAAAAGCAACCGCACACCUUUAAUCCCAGCACUAGAGGAGAGGUGGGAGAACCUAUCUCUGUGAGUUCGAGGCCAGCCUGGUCUAUAGAGCGAGUUUCAGGGCAGCCAGGGCUACACAGAGAAAAUGACUUGAGAAACAAAAACACAAACAAAAGAAAGAAGAGGAAGGAAAGGAGGAAGACAGACAGACAGACAAUGGUCAAAGCAGUCAACAGACAAAAGCACACAGCACAGCAGUACUGCUCCUCACCGACUGCACGUCCGUCCUAUAACAGAACAGAAUCGAAGAACUUUAGGUCAAUUCGAGAAAUAAAAAUAAAACUGAAAAGAGAACCUCUGAACGCAGAAAGGAGUAAAGACUUAACGGAAUAAGAGACUGUGAAAGAGACUCAUUUCCAGUAUGAGAUGAAGAUGUAGAACUUUCAGCUCCUCCUGCACUAUGCCUGCCUGGAUGCUGCCAUGCUCUGGCCUCGAUGACAAUGGACAGAACCUCUGAACCUGUAAGCGGCCCCAAUUAAAUGUUGUCCUAACAAGA